AGCUCCAAUAGCGUAUAUUAAAGUUGUUGCGGUUAAAAAGCUCGUAGUUGGAUUUCUGGUGGAGACAACCGGUCCGGCUUAAGGCCGUGUAUCUGGUCUGGCUCCGUCAUCCGGAAGUUUAAGGUGCGUCGCUUCACUGCGAUGUCCGUAAGCUUCCCUUUUACUUUGAGGAAAUUAGAGUGUUCACAGCAGGCAAUCGCCGUGAAUACGUUAGCAUGGAAUAAUCAUAUAGGACUUCGGCCCUAUUUUGUUGGUUUCUAGAGCUGAAGUAAUGAUUAAUAGGAACAAUUGGGGGCAUUCGUAUUAUGGCGUCAGAGGUGGAAUUCUUGGAUUGCCGUACGACGAACUACUGCGAAAGCAUUUGCCAAGGAUGUUUUCA
rnacentral:rRNA from 1 species